UACGGAGGGUGCAAGCGUUAUCCGGAUUCACUGGGUUUAAAGGGUGCGUAGGUGGGCAGGUAAGUCAGUGGUGAAAUCUCCGGGCUUAACUCGGAAACUGCCAUUGAUACUAUCUUUCUUGAAUACCGUGGAGGUCAGCGGAAUAUGUCAUGAGCGGUGAAAUGCUUAGAUAUGACAUAGAACACCAAUUGCGAAGGCAGCUGGCUACACGAAUCAUUG
rnacentral:rRNA from 1 species